UGGACAGGAGCGUGAGUACACACACACACACACACACACACACACACACACACACACACACGUCAAAAGGCAGGCUAAACCACAUAUACCAACACA